rnacentral:rRNA from 1 species
GUGCCAGCCGCCGCGGUAAUACGGAGGGUGCAAGCGUUAUCCGGAUUCACUGGGUUUAAAGGGUGCGUAGGCGGGUAUGUAAGUCCGUGGUGAAAUCUCCGAGCUUAACUCGGAAACUGCCAUGGGUACUGCGUAUCUUGAAUGUUGUGGAGGUGAGCGGAAUAUGUCAUGUAGCGGUGAAAUGCUUAGAUAUGACAUAGAACACCAAUUGCGAAGGCAGCUCACUACACAAAUAUUGACGCUGAGGCACGAAAGCGUGGGGAUCAAACAGGAUUAGAUACCCUGGUAGUCCACGCCCUAAACGAUGAUUACUCGACAUACGCGAUACACAGUGUGUGUCUGAGCGAAAGCAUUAAGUAAUCCACCUGGGAAGUACGACCGCAAGGUUGAA